UACGGAGGGAGCUAGCGUUGUUCGGAUAUACUGGGCGUAAAGCGCACGUAGGCGGCGCCGUAAGUCAGGGGUGAAAGUCCCGGAGCUCAACUCCGGAACUGCCCUUGAAACUGCAGUGCUAGAAUCUUGGAGAGGCGAGUGGAAUUCCGAGUGUAGAGGUGAAAUUCGUAGAUAUUCGGAAGAACACCAGUGGCGAAGGCGACUCGCUGGACAAGUAUUGACGCUGAGGUGCGAAAGCGUGGGGAGCAAAGCAGG
rnacentral:rRNA from 1 species